GACUUACUCUUAUUGGACCAACUGUCUGAUUGCCAUUUUUUCCUCAAAUGAUUUUUAACAGUGUGAUAAUAAUUCUUAAAAUACCUAAAAUUAAAAUAGUGUGAAAGAUAACAUGUAAACGUAUCAUAAAAGAGUGAUUCAAAUAAGAGGUAAAAAAAUUGAAAUAAAACUAUGGAAGCACAACACUAAAACAUUUAAAAAUGUGAUAGGAAUACUGAAAAAAUAAUUGAACAUAACAUAACAUUUUGAUUGACAAAUAAUUUUUUACAUAGUGUCUCCAUCAAAACAAAUCUAAAAAUAAUUAACACAACUUAAUAAAUAUACCAUAAAUACGUUUAAAAUAAUUGAACAUAGAAAAGAGUGAAAUGAAGAAAACAGGUAUAGUAACCCUUGAUCAGGUAUGAAAUGAUUUUAAACAUUUAAACGAUAAAAAUAAUCAAAAAAAUAAUUACAAAAUAUGAAAUAGGGGGCUCGGAUUCAUCUUUUGUCAAUCACAAGAACAAACCAUAGGUCUUCCCUCUUUAUGCCCAAAUCCCAUCCUAAGAGAUAGACAUGGCUGCAGUGGUUGCCAUGAAGGCCAUCCAAACUGUCUCGCCAUCAUCCUAUUAAGAUUGGAAAACCAAGCAUUGAAAGAGAUCGUAAAGCCUUUAUGAUUCAUACUUAUGCAUAAGAAUAUGUUAUUUGCCAACACCAUGGAGAAACAAUCUUAUGUUGUAAAGCCCAAAUGGUGAUUGGUCAAAUGCAUAAUUGACUUUUAUUUAUCAUCAUAGCCUCUUCAUAAUUCAAAAGCAAUAUACUGAGAAGCAAAGAUGAAAUCAAUACAGUGAAAUUUAUAAAAAGAAAAUGUAAAUAAUGAAAGCUAUGAAAGGAUAAAAAGAAAAAGGUUGGAAGAAAAGAAACAAUCCUCUUGAAUGUAUUAUUUCCCCACACCAAAACAAGCUCCAUAUCCCCAAAAUACCUCAGUUAAAUAAGAACCCCAAAUGAGAAUAAAAAACUAGAGAACUAAUUGUUGUUUGCAGCAGACAGUGAUCAUUUAUGAUCAUUUUACAUCAUCAAGCUUAACCAAUGCAGGGGUAACAAUGCCAUCAACACAAUCGCAAUCCCUACUACCUGAACAAGCAUUUGCACAAACGGCACAAAGAAUCAUUUGCUAUACAGGGCAUAGGAUUUAGGCUCUAAAUAACAAACAAGUACAAACAGUAGCAAAACAACAAAGAUAGCUUGUUGUAGCCAAACUCAAGACUCUCUUUAACUGGACCAAUUAUCACAUCGCCAUUUUUUUUACCUCAAUUGAUUUUUAACAGCCGGAUAAUAAUUCUUAAAAGUAAUAAAACUAACAUAAUGUUGAAGAUAACAUGUAAAUUUCUCAUAUAAUCUUAAAGUGACCCGAAUCUCAGAUGAAAAAAAAAAACCUUGAAACAAAAUUAUGAAAGCCCACCGAACUUGUAAAACUUUAAAAAUGUCAUUUUGUUGACAAAUAAUUUUUUCUAUAAUGUCUAUAUCAAAACAAUUCUCAGAAAAAUUAACACCACUUAAGCAAAUAUACUAUGAGUACAUUUAAAAUAAUUAAACCAAGAAAAAAAAGAAAUGGAGAAAACAUGUAUAGUUUAACCCUUGAUCAGGCAUGAAAUGAUUUUAAACAUUUAAAUAGUAAAAAUAAUCAAAAGAACCAUUACAAAAUAAGAAAUAGGAGGCUCAGAUUCAUCUUUUGUCAAUCAUAAGAACAGACCAUAGGUCUUCCCUCUUCUUGCCCAAAUCUCAUCCUAAGAGAUAGACAUGGCUGCAGUGGUUGCCAUGAAGGCCAUCCAUACUGCCUCGCCAUCAUCCUAUUAAGAUUGAAAAAUCGAGCAUUGAAAGAGAUUACAAAGCCUUAAUGCUUCAUAAUAUGCAUAAGAAUCUGUGACUUGCCAACACCAUGGAGAAACAAUCUUGUGUUUAAAAGCUCAAAUGGUGAUUAGUCAAAUCCAUCAUUGACUUUUAUUUAUCAUCAUAGCCUCUUCAUAAUUCAAAAGCAAGAUACUGAGAAGCAAAGAUGAAAUCAAUACAGUGAAAUUUACAAAAAGAAAACAUAAAUAAUCAAAGCCAUGAAAGGAUAAAAAGAAAAAGGUUGGAAGAAAUGAAGCAAUCCUCUUGAAUGUAUUAUUUCCCCACACCAAAACAAGCUCCAUAUCCCCAAAAUACCUCAGUUAAAUAAGAACCCCAAAUGAGAAUAAAAAACUAGAGAACUAAUUAUUGUUUGCAGCAGACAGUGAUCAUUUAUGAUCAUUUUACAUCAUCAAGCUUAACCAAUGUAGGGGUAACAAUGCCAUCAACACAAUCGCAAUCCCUACUACCUGAACAAGCAUUUGCACAAACGGCACAAAGAAUCAUUCGCUAUAUGGGGUAUAGGAUUUAAGCUCUAAAUAACAAACAAGUACAAACAGUAGCACAACAACAAAGAUAGCUUGUUGUAGCCAAACUCAAGACUCUCUUUAACUGGACCAAUUAUCACAUCGUCAUAUUUUUUUACCUCAAUUGAUUUUUAACAGCCGGAUAAUAAUUCUUAAAAGUACUAAAACUAACAUAAUGUUGAAGAUAACAUGUAAACUUCUCAUAUAAGCUUAAAGUGACCCGAAUCUCAGAAGAAAAAAAAAACCUUGAAACAAAAUUAUGAAAGCCCACCGAACUUGUAAAACUUUAAAAAUGUCAUUUUGUUGACAAAUAAUUUUUUCUAUAAUGUCUAUAUCAAAACAAUUCUCAGAAAAAUUAACACCACUUAAGCAAAAUAUACUAUGAGUACAUUUAAAAUAAUUAAACCAAGAAAAGAGAGAAAUGGAGAAAACAUGUAUAGUUUAACCCUUGAUCAGACAUGAAAUGAUUUUAAACAUUUAAAUAGUAAAAAUAAUCAAAAGAACCAUUAUAAAAUAAGAAAUAGGAGGCUCAGAUUCAUCUUUUGUCAAUCACAAGAACAGACCAUAGGUCUUCCCUCUUCUUGCCCAAAUCCCAUCCUAAGAGAUAGACAUGGCUGCAGUGGUUGCCAUGAAGGCCAUCCAUACUGCCUCGCCAUCAUCCUAUUAAGAUUGAAAAAUCGAGCAUUGAAAGAGAUUACAAAACCUUUAUGCUUCAUAAUAUGCAUAAGAAUCUGUGACUUGCCAACAUCAUGGAGAAACAAUCUUGUGUUUAAAAGCCCAAAUGGUGAUUGGUCAAAUCCAUCAUUGACUUUUAUUUAUCAUCAUAGCCUCUUCAUAAUUCAAAAGCAAGAUACUGAGAAGCAAAGAUGAAAACAAUAUAGUGAAAUUUAUCAAAAAAAAUAUAAAUAAUCAAUGCUAUAAAAGGAUAAAAAGAAAAAGAUUGGAAGAAAAGAAGCAAUCCUCUUGAAUGUAUUAUUUCUUUCCCCACACCAAAACAAGCUCCAUAUCCCCUAAAUACCACAUUUAAAUAAGAAACUUAAAUGAGAAUAAAAAACUAGAGAACUAUUUGUUGUUUGCGACAGAUAGUGAUCAUUUAUGACCAUUUUACAUCAUCAAGCUUAAUCAAUGCUUAACCAAUGCAGGGGCAACAAUGUCAUCAAUACAAUCGCAAUCCCUACUACCUGAACUAAGCGUUUGCACAAAUGGUACAAAGAAUCAUUUGCGAUAUGGGGCAUAUGAUUUAAGCUCUGAAGAACAAACAAGUACAAACAGUAGCAUGACAACAAACAUAAGAAACAAUGUAUCUGACAUGGCAAGAACAUCCCCAAUAACCAUAUGUGCUCUCCCCUAUAUGCUUCAUUGUUUCAAACAAUAAUGAUUUACCUGGACAUGAAAGUAUUUUGCAAGCAUAAAUCCAUGACAAUGUGAGCAAAAAGGAUCCGUUCAUUUAAAAAAGAAAACCUUCUAAGAUGCUCACCCGAAAUUGUACCCAUACAAAGUUCCCCCCAAUGUUAGUUUGUUGUCGUUAAGCUCAAGACUUUCUAUAACUGGACCAACUAUCACAUUGCCAUUUUUUUUUUCCUCAAAACAAUUUUUAACAACCUGAUAAUAUUUCUUAAAAUUACUAAAAUUAACAUAAUAUUGAAAAUAACAAACAAACAUCUCAUACUAGCUAGAGGUGAUCCAAUCUCAAAUGAAAAAACAAAAAAACAUGAAACAAAAUUAUGAAAGCACACCAAACUUAUAAAUUUUUAAAAAUGUCAUUUUGGUAGACAAAUAAUUAUUUCUAUAAUGUCUACAUCAAAACAAAUCUCAGAAAAAUUAACACCACUUAAGCAAAUAUACCGUGAGUACAUUUAAAAUAAUUGAACCUUGAAAAGAGAGAAAUGGAGAAAACAUGUAUAGUAACCCUUGAUCAGGCAUGAAAUGCUUUUAAACAUUUAAAUAAAAAAAAUAAUCGAAAGAACCAUUACAAAAUAAGAAAUAGGAGGCUCAUAUUCACCUUUUGUCAAUCACAAGAAAAGACCAUAGGUCUUCCCUCUUCUUGCCUAAAUCCCACCCUAAGAGAUAGAAAUGGCUACAGUGGUUGCCAUGAAUGCCAAAACAUUCAGAUAAAUAUUUGGUAUAAGAGGCUCAGAUUCAUCUUUUGUCAAUCACAAGAAUAGACCAUAAGUCUUCCCUCUUCUUGCCCAAAUCUUACCAUAAGAGAUAGACAUAGCUACUCACCGACCGACCUAUCACUGAAUAAAGUAGAGCUGUUUGUUUGCUUUAAUUAAGAUCCAAAGUAGAGCUGUUCCAUUGCUUUAAUUCAAUUCAAAAUCACUUGCUGUUUUACAACCUAGUUCACUUCAUAAAACACUCUCAAAUAUCAUAUAAAAUCACUUUCCAUACAGAAUGAAGGCAAGGCAAGAGCCUGAGUGUGUAUGUUGGGUUCCAGACUUCAAUCGAGGAGUGCCGGGCUAAGAGAGGGGAGUCAAAUCCUCAGAAUUGGUAGUUGGUUU
rnacentral:lncRNA from 1 species